GGGCUUGUAGCUCAGCCGGGAGAGCGCCGCGCUGGCAGCGCGGAGGUCGCGGGUUCGAACCCCGCCUUGUCCAC
rnacentral:tRNA from 1 species